rnacentral:lncRNA from 1 species
UCAUUUUUCAAAGACUAACAAGUUUCACACUUGAUUUUAAAGAAGGUUUUAUAAGACCAUCCAGUCCAAUAUUAAUCUUUUUAAUAUUUCUUUCAAGAUAAUCAAUAUGAUCUUUAUAAUCUAAGAUGUUUCUCUCUAACUUAUCAUUUUCCAUACUGAGCUUAAGACUUAAUUUAAAUAUUUUCCUAUAGGAAAGGGUAGUUACCUUGUUU